AGGCCGGCGCCGACGACCUCCUCGCCGGUGACCCCAAUCUCUCCACGCUACGCCGGCUCCUCUACCGGCUCAGAGCCCUCUCGUGCUCCAUUGACCUGUGCGGGGCCGAGGAGGAGGGGAGCAGGAUGAUUGGAUCCCUCUCGCAUGGUGCCGCAGGUGCGGAGCGCAGAGGGGGAUCGCGCGGGUGGCCGGUGCCGUCGCGAGGAGAUCCAAUCGUGGAAAUCUCGCGGCGUGGAUUGGGUCUCUGUGCGCGCGGUGCCGCAGGUGCGGAGCGCGGAGGGGAAUUGCGCGGGUGGCCGGUGCCGUCGCCGGGGAGAUCCAAUCGUGGAAAUCUCACGGUCGUGGGAGGAGAUCGAGCCGAAGAGGAGACAGACGAGGAGGACGAGAACCGCCGCUCGAUGGCGGCAGUGCACCACCGCCCCCAAUCUGCGGAGCAGAGUGGUCCCUUGGUCACCAGCCACACACCAGGUGCUUCACCAAAUGGAAAAUAUUACGUACUUGAUAGAACUCCAAUAUACUCUGAGGCUGUAAAAGAAAGGGAAAGGAUAAGAUAGUCUCCGACUCCAAUAUACUCCAUCCCGGCAGAACUUGUUCGUCCCCGGACUCUCGAAGUCGACCUUCUCAAGGUACAAACGAGUCGCCCCCUGCUUGUUUGAGCAAUUAACAGUUUGAGCUUUGGAUAGCUUGCUUGUGGACUAAUUGGGGUAUGGCUCGAUAGGUCUGAAUUGAUUGUUGAUUAUUUUGGGGAUGGUUGGAUAGGUCUGAUGCAUGCUCUUAUUAUUCAUAAUUGUGUGUCCUUGUCGUUUCUCUUCUCUUUCUGCGUGUAGAGCAAUAGGGCCUUGUUGAGGGAUUUGAAAAUCAAGAUAUGUAUAGAGAUAAAUCUUCCUCCUGCCUUGUACACAGCGUACUCAUGUGGAAAAUUCAGACUAUUUUAGGAAAAUUACUCUUUCCUGUGUUCACUAAUAGGAGUCUGAAUUUGUUACAAUUUAGAACCAGUCAUGCUUGUAAGGAGAGUUUUUUGAAGCAGCUUUACAAGUUCUCAUGAAAACAACUAAUGAUGUUAAUAUCAUUUUUUAUGCCUGUAGCUGCGCACGCAUGUAUUUAUGGUCUUGAAAUGUAGGGGAAUUUUUCAGAAGAUCAUUCUCUAUUUUCUGUCAUAUGAACUACCAUAAUGUAAGGGAAUCCUUGAGAUGAUCUUGCUCUAUUUUCUGUCAUAUGAACUAAGUCGAAUGCACUGUUUUUGUAUUUUGCUGCAUCAGUGGAAGCAUUGGGUUGUAAAGAUGGCAGUCUGGAAGACCAAUUGUUUUGUUUUGCUCUGCUUUGCUUUUCUCAAGCUCCAUUUGAUGUAUAUGGCACAAAAGCAUGAGAUACAAUGUAUAUGGGAUUAUUAACAUCUUGCUUAAAUCUGAAAUGUUUCUUUGGUCUAAUCUUAAACUAUGUCAGAGUAUGCAGGAUCAUAUGGUGAUACCUGCAGAUUAUGUUGAAGACCAUAUUUUGUAGAAGUGACAUGAAUAAUAUAUACAAGGUAUAAGUCUAUUUGAUUCAGUUACUAGCAUGAAAGCAGUAGCAAAAAACAUAACUAAUGCGUACCAUAAUUAGUUAUGUUUUUGCUUUUUCUAAAAUGACUGAUUAUAAGAAGUUAUCCUCGUUUGCCCUCCUCUAAUCGGACUGGGAGCAGGCCACCACAACUGAGCAGGUCAUGGCUCCGUUCAGUCUUCCUCAAUUCAAGGAAAUUUGGUGCACUUUCCUUUUUUUGUUAUCUUCUCAAAUUCAAAGUUACACUUUGUGAGAUAUAACUGGGAUUUGAGAAAUUUUAGGCCAUUCUCUAAGUUUGCUUGCAAGUUCAUUGCAUGAGUAGAGGAGAGCAGUGCGUACGUAGGCCGUGAUUCAUAUGGCUGCCAGUAUUCCCUACAAUGGAAUAUCAGACCGCUGCUUAUUUUUCAUGUGCUGUCGGAGGCUAGCAGGUGCGGCUCAAUUUGUCAUGGCAACGUGUGUAGUCACUGAUAUACAGAUGGAGAGUCUACAGGGGAUGGACGGCCGGCCCUAGGGAGAAAGGAGAGAGGGAGGGCCCGCUGCUCCCUGCCAUAGUGCUUUGUGAAUUUUCACAAGAGCUGGGCAAUUUUCCAUUGAUAUUGCAAAAUACCAGUGCAACGUUUGUGUAGGAAUGAUCACUGUUUUGUUCUUUAGAUUUUGUAACUGAAAUUUGUACUCCUGUAGAGAUCUAUAUGUGAAUAUACACCAGCAAUUAAUUGUCAAUUUCACAAUUUGCUCAUGAUAAAGACACGUUUAAUGUUA